AUUGAACGCUGGCGGCAAGCCUCACACAUGCAAGUCGAACGAGUGGCGGACGGGUGAGUAAUGUCUGGGAAACUGCCUGAUGGAUGGGGAUAACUACUGGAAACAGUAGCUAAUACCGCAUACCAUCGGAUGUGCCCAGAUGGGAUUAGCUAGUAGGUGGGGUAAAGGCUCACCUAGGCGACGAUCCCUAGCUGGUCUGAGAGGAUGACCAGACACACUGGAACUGAGACACGGUCCAGACUCCUACGGGAGGCAGCAGUGGGGAAUAUUGAACAAUGGGCGAAAGCCUGAUGCAGCCAUGCCGAGUGUAUGAAGAAGGCCUUCGGGUUGUAAAGUACUUUCAGCGGGGAGGCGUUACCCGCAGAAGAAGCACCGGCUAACUCCGUGCCAGCAGCCGCGGUAAUUC
rnacentral:rRNA from 1 species